rnacentral:lncRNA from 1 species
CACGAAUGAAUACAUACCUUCCUUUACUAAUAGAUAAAGAAAGAAAGACUCUACCAAUGGUUAUAUAAUUAAGACCAAUGUGAAAAUAUCUAGGAAAAACAUGGUCUUGUAGGGUUAGGUCUAAACCAGAAUUUAUAGAAAGAUUAACAGAUUCCCUAGGUGUAGCUAAAAGUGCAUUAUCUUCUUGAUUAAAAGAUAGGACCUCAGCUAUAGAAAAGGGUUGGUUUUGACCUAUUGCAAUCAACUUCGGACACAGAUCAUAAUUAGGGGCAGGACUUGUUGACUCCCAUGGUCUAUGGCUGGUUUCUGAAGGUGCAAAGAAUUCAAUAAUAGGUAUGGAAUUUAAGUUAUCCAUAAAGAUGGAAAAAAUAAAAAGAUAAAAGAAUAAAAGUAUAAAAGUAUAAUACAAGAUAAUAGCAAGACUUAAAGUUAUCUCAACAAACUGUCUUUCUCCCCGGCAACGGCGCCAGAAAUGCUUGUUGAUAUUUGGUAACGCAAUAAGGAAAUGAUCCGCAAGCGC